rnacentral:lncRNA from 1 species
GGAACCUACCAGGAGGAAUGAACAACUCCGGACAGGAGGAAGGAGCAACUCCAGCGACACCUUAAGAGUUGUAACACUCACCGCGAAGGUCUGCAGCUUAACUUCUGAAACCAGCGAGACCACAAACCCAGCAGAAGGAAGAAACUCCUAACACGUCUGAACAUCAGAAGGAACGAACUCAGGACUCACUAUCUUUAAGAACUGUAACACUCACUGCAACACUCACCGCGAGGGUCCGCAGCUUCAUUCUUGAAAUCAGUGAGACCAAGAACCACCAAUUCCAGACACACUAGGGCCCAAAGGACUUUCAAGGUCCUGCAUUCUGGAAAAAAAAAAAGUAAUAGAAAUAAAAAAAACACUGUAGGUGACUGGCUGAGAUUGAGCCUGACCUGCAUUCACAGGCCUCAUUUUUCAGUCACUGCAGAGGUAGGAGACCUUGACUCCUAUCUACUGAGAUGUUAAUGCUCACCAAGGUUUCUCCUGCCCUUCCUGGGUGUCUGGAAGAUCACGUUUGCUGCCUGUUGAAUGAGCUGUGUUCAAGUGGCUUCCUUUGAGCAAUAAUGUAUGAGCAGAAGUGAUAUGGGUCACCUCAGGGUGGAGGCUUUUGAG